GUAAGGAAUAUUGGACAAUGGGCGAAAGCCUGAUCCAGCCAUGCCGCGUGAAGGAUUAAGGUCCUCUGGAUUGUAAACUUCUUUUAUUUGGGACGAAAAAAGGGAAUUCUUUCCCACUUGACGGUACCAAGUGAAUAAGCACCGGCUAACUCCGUGCCAGCAGCCGCGGUAAUACGGAGGGUGCAAGCGUUAUCCGGAUUCACUGGGUUUAAAGGGUGCGUAGGCGGGUAUGUAAGUCAGUGGUGAAAUCUCGGAGCUUAACUCCGAAACUGCCAUUGAUACUAUAUAUCUUGAAUAUUGUGGAGGUUUGCGGAAUAUGUCAUGUAGCGGUGAAAUGCUUAGAUAUGACAUAGAACACCUAUUGCGAAGGCAGCAGGCUACACAUAUAUUGACGCUGAGGCACGAAAGCGUGGGGAUCAA
rnacentral:rRNA from 1 species